rnacentral:rRNA from 1 species
CUAGAGUUUGAUCCUGGCUCAGGAUGAACGCUGGCGGCGUGCCUAAUACAUGCAAGUCGAGCGAAUGGAUUAAGAGCUUGCUCUUAUGAAGUUAGCGGCGGACGGGUGAGUAACACGUGGGUAACCUGCCCAUAAGACUGGGAUAACUCCGGGAAACCGGGGCUAAUACCGGAUAACAUUUUGAACGCAUGGUUCGAAAUUGAAAGGCGGCUUCGGCUGUCACUUAUGGAUGGACCCGCGUCGCAUUAGCUAGUUGGUGAGGUAACGGCUCACCAAGGCAACGAUGCGUAGCCGACCUGAGAGGGUGAUCGGCCACACUGGGACUGAGACACGGCCCAGACUCCUACGGGAGGCAGCAGUAGGGAAUCUUCCGCAAUGGACGAAAGUCUGACGGAGCAACGCCGCGUGAGUGAUGAAGGCUUUCGGGUCGUAAAACUCUGUUGUUAGGGAAGAACAAGUGCUAGUUGAAUAAGCUGGCACCUUGACGGUACCUAACCAGAAAGCCACGGCUAACUACGUGCCAGCAGCCGCGGUAAUACGUAGGUGGCAAGCGUUAUCCGGAAUUAUUGGGCGUAAAGCGCGCGCAGGUGGUUUCUUAAGUCUGAUGUGAAAGCCCACGGCUCAACCGUGGAGGGUCAUUGGAACUGGGAGACUUGAGUGCAGAAGAGGAAAGUGG